rnacentral:lncRNA from 1 species
CUUGAACCCGUGAGGAGGAAAUUGCAGCGAGCCAAGAUCGCGCCACUGCACCCCAGCCUGGGCGACAGAGAGAGACUCCAUCUCAAAAACAAAACAAAACAAAACAAAAAAAACAAAAAGUGAAGCCAACUCAAUUGUCUCAUAGAACUGAUCUUUACGGUGUUUUUAAAUAAACAUAGAAAUUGGCCCUCCCAGUCUUAAAACUUCAAAAACUUACAUUUGUCUUACCUCAGUUCCUUUCUCAGGAAUCCAAUCAUCAAGGCUCCCAGAUAGUAUCAAUGAACGGAAACUUACCAGAUCACGAUAUCUGGACAAUGAGAUGUCAGAUCCCCCUCAUCCAUCCUGAUUACCUAACUGACUACCUGCUUCCUGUUGGCCAACUACUCUUCCUUACCCCUCCCUAAUUCUUGUUUUCCCACAAAUGGUUACAUUUCUGUCCUGCUAUAGAAGCCCUUAAUUUUAAUUGGUCGAGGAGAUGGAUUUGAGACUGAUUUUUUGCUCUCCUUGGCUGUUGCACCUGAAUAGCCUUUUUCCCUGGCAAUACUUUUUGUCUCAGUGAUUGGCUUUCUGUGCAGUGAGCAAUGGGACCAAACUUCUGGUGUUUUGGUAACAAAUUUUGGUUUCCUGACUGUGAAUGCAUUGCUUGUGACUCAGCUGCCAUGAGCUGGGAGAGUUUCAAAAGCCCUCUAAGCAGCUACCUGACCAUUUUGGCCAGAGGUGGAUUUUCGUCUCUCCCCAUUUGGGCCCACUUCUGCCAACCCCAACCAUGUUCCUGAUUGCCUAGGAAGAACAGCCUUUGAAAUUUGACGUCUAUGUACAGAAAGGUACAAACUGUUGCCUAAGG